UGAGCAAUCUGCCCUUCACAUCGGAAUAACCAUUGGAAACGAUGGCUAAUACCGAAUAUGACUUCGGAUCGCAUGAUCUGAAGUGGAAAGCUCCGGCGGUGAAGGAUGAGCUCGCGGCCUAUCAGCUUGUUGGUGAGGUAAUAGCUCACCAAGGCGAUGACGGGUAGCCGGCCUGAGGAGGGUGACCGGCCACACUGGGACUGAGACACCGGCA
rnacentral:rRNA from 1 species